GUAAUUAUAGUUUAAUAAAAACAUUAGAUUGUGGUUCUAAAAAUAAAGGUUAAACCCCUUUUAAUUACCC
rnacentral:tRNA from 1 species